AUAUUGGGCAAUGGGCGCAAGCCUGACCCAGCAACGCCGCGUGAAGGAAGAAGGCUUUCGGGUUGUAAACUUCUUUUCUCAGGGACGAAGAAAAUGACGGUACCUGAGGAAUAAGCCACGGCUAACUACGUGCCAGCAGCCGCGGUAAUACGUAGGUGGCAAGCGUUGUCCGGAUUUACUGGGUGUAAAGGGCGUGCAGCCGGGCUGGUAAGUCAGAUGUGAAAUCUGGAGGCUCAACCUCCAAACUGCAUUUGAAACUGCUGGUCUUGAGUACCGGAGAGGUUAUCGGAAUUCCUUGUGUAGCGGUGAAAUGCGUAGAUAUAAGGAAGAACACCAGUGGCGAAGGCGGAUAACUGGACGGCAACUGACGGUGAGGCGCGAAAGCGUGGGGAGCAAACA
rnacentral:rRNA from 1 species